UUACCCCAAAGGCCACUGGUACUCGCCUAUAUGCUGCGUUAUGCAGCCCUGCGAGUGGGAAGGUCCGCGUGCGCCUCUUUGUUCUAUCUCGCAGGGAGAGACAGAUGGCCGUUUGAUUCGCUGACUUAGAAGCUUGUUUGUGUAUGCUGCUCGUCAGUAAUGCUAGAAGGGACUGGCUGUCUCUACAACUCUUGCUGGGUGAAUGGCGUAGCGCCAUAAGGUUGGCCUGUAACAGAAAAGGCUCUUGCGCGGUAGGUCUGAGUGGAGCUUUCCCCGAUCAGUUCGCUCGGAAACACAUUCAGGCAAUGCAGGCGGAGAUUGGAAUCGGGUCUACUUGAUGAGAUCUGCCAGAAUCCCUUCUUUGCGUGAUACUUGCAAGCUGUACCUAGGACAGGAUUUGAGCGGUUGUCUGAAAGUCAUGGAAUGACCUGGGGCAAAGAGGUCGCUUGAUAUUGUCAAGCUUGAGUGCAAUCAGUGGCGUCUCUUAUACAGAGCAAACUCGACGCGAGACUACUCUUGGAGUAA
rnacentral:RNase_P_RNA from 2 species